UAGAUAGCAUAAGAUAAUGUAGAUGAUUUCGGCUCAUCAGAUGAAAAAUUUUCUCUACCUU
rnacentral:tRNA from 1 species